rnacentral:rRNA from 1 species
AACGAACGCUGGCGGCAUGCCUAACACAUGCAAGUCGAACGAGACCUUCGGGUCUAGUGGCGCACGGGUGCGUAACGCGUGGGAACCUGCCUUUAGGUUCGGAAUAACUCAGAGAAAUUUGAGCUAAUACCGGAUAAUGUCUUCGGACCAAAGAUUUAUCGCCUUUAGAUGGGCCCGCGUUGGAUUAGCUAGUUGGUGGGGUAAAGGCCUACCAAGGCGACGAUCCAUAGCUGGUCUGAGAGGAUGAUCAGCCACACUGGGACUGAGACACGGCCCAGACUCCUACGGGAGGCAGCAGUGGGGAAUAUUGGACAAUGGGCGAAAGCCUGAUCCAGCAAUGCCGCGUGAGUGAUGAAGGCCUUAGGGUUGUAAAGACUCUUUUACCCGUAGAUGAUAAUGACAGUAUCGGGAGAAUAAGACUCCGGCUAACUCCGUG